ACGUCAUCUACAACAAGGCUGUGAUAUCGUUCAGAAUGUGCCUUGGCAUCUGUAAAGUGACCCGGGCAACAACGCUUUACCAGUGGAUUUCUGAAAGCAAAAACACCCAGUUGGCAACAGCAAAUGUUAAGUCAAUCACUAAUGAUGCUGAAGAUGAAAAAUCCUUUCCACACUACCCUGUCUCAUAACAGACAACAACAGCAUGUUGUCAGCAUGUCUGCCCCCGAGUUAUGCAUUACAAAUGACAAGUCAAGUUCAAAAUUAAAGGGUUAUUCGAGAUUUUUGUGUCAUAUU